GAUGAACGCUGGCGGCGUGCCUAAUACAUGCAAGUCGAGCGAAUGGAUUGAGAGCUUGCUCUUAUGAAGUUAGCGGCGGACGGGUGAGUAACACGUGGGUAACCUGCCCAUAAGACUGGGAUAACUCCGGGAAACCGGGGCUAAUACCGGAUAACAUUUUGAACCGCAUGGUUCGAAAUUGAAAGGCGGCUUCGGCUGUCACUUAUGGAUGGACCCGCGUCGCAUUAGCUAGUUGGUGAGGUAACGGCUCACCAAGGCAACGAUGCGUAGACGGCCGGAGAGGGUGAUCGGCCACACUGGGAAUGAGACACGGCCCAGACUCCUACGGGAGGCAGCAGUAGGGAAUCUUCCGCAAUGGACGAAAGUCUGACGGAGCAACGCCGCGUGAGUGAUGAAGGCUUUCGGGUCGUAAAACUCUGUUGUUAGGGAAGAACAAGUGCUAGUUGAAUAAGCUGGCACCUUGACGGUACCUAACCAGAAAGCCACGGCUAACUACGUGCCAGCCGCCGCGGUAA
rnacentral:rRNA from 1 species